rnacentral:rRNA from 1 species
GACGUAGGGCGCGAGCGUUGUCCGGAUUUAUUGGGCGUAAAGAGCUCGUAGGCGGCUUGUCGCGUCGUCCGUGAAACCUGCGGCUCAACUGCAGGCUGGCGGUCGAUACGGGCAGGCUGGAGUUCGGUAGGGGAGACUGGAAUUCCUGGUGUAGCGGUGAAUGCGCAGAUAUCAGGAGGAACACCGAUUGCGAAGGCAGCUCGCUGGGACGUUACUGACGCGUGAGACGCGAAAGCGUGGGGAGA